AAACAUCUCUUUCACGGGUUCUGUGGGGCAGAGGGGUGAGAGCCUGGAGUAAAAAAGGAGGGACUCGCGCGUAAUAAGGGAAACUUGGGGGUUGAGAAGAUUCUGUGUGCUAGUGUGCUGGAACCUGAAACCUGCACCAACAAACUCAACUGUCUUUCACCGACAGAUCGCGGUGUCACUGACUGUUAUCGGUAUGUGAUAACAAAUGACAACAAACCAGCAGCCACCCACAUCCACCCAGCAGCAGCCCAGUUAUAAAGGUCAGACCGCACUGUGUUUGAGUGGAUGUGUGAGAAACAUCAGCAUGAUGUCCAUCAUCUCCCUGUGAGUUUUGUCUCCCCUUGCUGGUGCCUCUUUUAACAUCGGGUUUUGUCUGAUUCUUAUGAUUUAUUUAGAUUAUGUGGACAAGUGCUCUAUAUUUAUUUCUGUUGAAGCACCUUUUUUGUUGGUCUGUUUACUGUUGGUUUCUUAUGUGUGGUUUUUUGGGUUCUUGACCUAUUCCCAUGUUCUAAAAUAUGCGUAUUGGUGGACUGUUCAUGUUAAAUUUCCUCAUAGAUUGCAUAAAUUGUCAUUCACUUAAUCAAAUGGCAAAAUUGUAAGUUGCUCUGUAUAAGACUUUUGUAUAAGAAAUGUUUUUUUAUUUUUAUUUUAUCGGUUUUGAAAUUAUUUUUGGAUCAUUUGAACCUGUACAAGGCUAAAACCCAUACAA